ensembl:lncRNA
GUUGCUGAGGCAACUUCCUUAAGUUCGGGUACCAGAAUAAAAGGCUUCAUUGCUUGUUUUGCUGCAGGAAUUCUCUGCUCACUGCUGCACUGUCUUCCUCAUGGGACCAAUGAAACAGCUGAAGCGAAUGUUUGAACCGACGCGUUUGAUUGCCACUAUCCUGGUGCUGUUGUGUUUUGCACUUACCCUGUGUUUUGCCUUUUUGCGGCACAAGGGACUUGCUCUUAUCUUCUGCAUUUUGCAGUCUCUGGCCCUGACGUGGUAUAGCCUUUCCUACAUACCAUUUGCAAGAGAUGCUGUGAAGAAGUGCUUUGCUGUGUGUCUUACAUAAGACAUGGCCAGCUUUGCAGACUUGGAAAGGCACGGUGGAUGGAAGCGGGUGGACCAUGCUGUAAAUAUCUUCUAAACCUCUGUCUCACAGACACGUGCCUUUGAUCUUGCAGCAAUGUGUUGCUUGCAUUCUGAACAUUUGAGGGUUGCUUUUGGAGGCAGUGGUGUGUUCCCAAACCUAAUGCCUGUAGCACCAUGUGAGAAGUGCGUUCUGUAUCAGCCGGAGUGGAAUCUUCCUCGGGCACCUAUGGAUGGGGUUCCACUGGGUUCUCAUAAAUAAAAACCUUGGUAGCAGCAGCAGAUAUGCCUGGGGCGCUAGUGAUUCUCAGGUGGCAACAGGCAAGCCCAUUGGAGAUGACAGGGGUGCAACAGGAAGGGACACAGUUUGGGGGUCAACAGGGACUUUGUAGACUUGCCCUCAGCAUGGCGUCCAUCACCCCUGCCCCUCACAGUGCAGACACACAUCUGUCUUGGUGUCUGGGAACAACUGAUUUUGCUCUUCUGAUAUGAGCCCCUGGAGAGCCUGGCCAUGCAAUGAAGUAGAAAAGGAAUACUUUUUGGUGAUGUGUAUUGUUUUUCAAACCUGAACUGAGGCUCUCCUGCUGCUUUGAUUCCCCACCUGGCUAUGGAAUGUAUUUUCUAGCACUUAGUGCACACUCUUUUUCUCUUGGGUCCCCCCACCCCCACCCACAUUUCUUUGCUCUUGACCUCCUGGAAUGAGAUUGAGAGAACAAAGCAGCAGCAGAAAACUAUGCUGCUUCCUUUUGGACAAAAGCCGGUUGGACGUGAAAAAUCUUGCUGCCCUCUGCUCUCUGGCUCUCUGUUUUUCCUCCAGUAUUUAUAAAUAUUUGCUUUCAAACUGAUUUUAUUUUCCUCUCUCCUCUGGAACGGGGCCAGAGGAGAGUAGGUGGGAAGACAGAGCCCUGCUGUGGAGCCAGCAGGAAGUAGGCAGGCCUGUGUUUGUCCUGGAGCCUGUGCUGAAAAGAGUUGGGGAAGACACCAUGGGCUGCAGGGUGGCCUUAUGCAGCCUGCUGCCUGGCCACAAACAGAGUGCUUUCAUGUCCCUGAUCUUGCCUAGUCCUUGAAAGAGCCUUGUGACGAAGCAGGGAUUAUUAUCCCCCUAGGCAGUCAAGGAAAUUGAGGCUCAGAGAAGUUACCAGAUCCUCCCAAAGCCAUAGUUGAUGGCAGAACAGAGACCCCAGAGGGUGCCCCAUCUUUGGUCCGCUUUGUGACACUGCAUUUCCUGGGGUGGUUUGGGUGGUUCCUCCUGUAACUGUUCGUGCUGUUUCCAUCAGCCAGGCCUGCUCCUUUUCUGGUUCCACUCUUUCUACAUCAUUGUACCUUCUGCCUGGUCUCCCUCCGGAAAGCUUCCUCUUGGUUUUGUAGGAUCUCCAUCAGUCCUUCACCUGCCCUUUGGUUCUCCUUGCUAUCUGACCAUCAGAAUGCCCUAUCUUGAUUGGCAUUGUGGGACCUCCAAAGUCACUUCCAAAGGAAGUCUAUUUGGGUUUGCCUUUCUGUUUUUCACCUAGGUCUGUCUGGUUCACUCUGGCUCUUGCUCUGGAAACCUCCAAACCAAAGGCAGUGGUCCACUGCUUGUCUUCUUGCUUGUGGCUAAUAGCUAACUCCUUUUUCCUACUGCAGCUGAGACCUUAGACUGGCAAGACUUUUCUUCCGAGCUAGGGAGGUAUGAAUAGGCCUCAUGGGGCCAGAGUGAGGGGCCAGUAUUACUGGAUCUUUUCUAGGCUGUCUUCUGCUGAGGCCCCUAACCUGUCUUUAGCCAGGAGUGGAAAGUAUAUGCUACUCUCUGGCUUGUGUGGGUUCCUUUGCAUCUCAGAUGCCAGCAGACAGUCCAGCUCUCAGAAGGGAUCUGGAAAGGGGCCUGAAGGAGGUUGAGAGUCUCUAAUGCUUCUUCUCCUUAGAGCUGAUGUGAGGCCAGCCUGGUCACUAGGAACUUCAGCCAUCUUGGAGUAAUAGACCUAAAAGCCUGAUCCCAGUGGGCCCCUUCAGAGGCUGGACUUGACUUUGUGGGACAUGAGGUUAGGAUGUCACCAGGCCUACAUAAUGUAGUGGUGGUGAAUGUGGGCUUUGAGGUCAGACAGGUCUAGGGGUGAGUUGUGGCUUAAUCACAUACUAGUGUCAUGUUGAAUGAGUUACUUCUGGUCCUCACAUCGCUCAUCUCUUUAAAGAUAAUNNNNNNNNNNNNNNNNNNNNNNNNNNNNNCCUGCUGGAUCAGCGCAGGAUGUCAGUGAGAAAUGUAUCUCAUGCUUAGCACGGAGAGCAGCAUAGGCAGCAUAGGUAAGUUAAAUCUUAGUAAAAGUAUUAUCAUUUAAUCACAGAAAUAACUGAUAACCAUUUAAGGCAGCAGAGUGAAUGUCUCUGCCCUCUGAUUUAUCUACAAAAAUUUAUUUGGUAGUAUGCGUCCUGCAUUGUAGACAUGACCAUGCACCAUCUCAUUGAAUAUCCACAAUAACUUUGCCAGACCAGCCGUCUUAUCUCUGUUAUUUGAGAAGGAAUGGGUAAUGUGUCUAUACCAGAUCUCACCAGAAGAGGGCACCAGUUCUUGCAUAAAAGCUCCUUUGCUCCAACUCUCCAGGCCUGUGGCCGGUUUGCUCAGACAGUUCCAGUGUGGACCCGUCAGCAGCUUGUGGGCGAUCCCUCCUUCCAGACAGGAUCUAACAGACUCCUCAGGUUUUCCUUCUGCCGCUUUACCCUUUAGUUGCUUCCCUACUUGUUUUGUCUGCUGGACUGUGGGAGGAAGAAAUGCAUUUCAGAUCUGCCGAAAGCUGUUACCAGGCAACAGUACUGGUUAAAAGCAACCGAGGGGGUGCGAUGAGGAGUGGAGAGUUAAGGUUUUAGACCCUGGGGCUGUUUCCCCACUCCCCUGCCUUCCCUCCUAUCUGUUUGCUGCUGGGGGAGGAAGAGAUGGUUGUGUUUUGGAAUAAAGGGGACCUCGAGGUGACCCUUUUGUAGAGGGGACAUGUACUCAUGUGCAAAGCUCUGCUUCCAGCAGCUGGGUGGGAACACUGGUCCAAAAGCUCUUCCCUGCGUGUGCUGGCCUGUGACCACUGAACUGGGAACAGUGCUGGUCCCCAGACCUGGAGGGCUGGCUUCCAGUCCUCUCCUCCCCAGCCUCAGAGAUUGCUUGUUUCACAUUGCUGCAGUGGGGUUAGGGGGUCCCUUUCCUAACUCGCUGCCUCCCAUCUCCUCCUGUCUCACUGUCUGAGAGGCUCCCCUUUUGCUGAUGUGCUCAGGGGAAACUCUGGUUUUCCAGCUUUUCUGCAUGGUUGUACCUGUGGCUACUGCUGUUGAGACCCGGCCUGAGGCCCCCUCUGUCACUCCCACAGAUAGGCUGUCUUGUCCCUGAGAAGGACCAGACCCUCCCCAGCUGACUCUUCUCACCGAGUUGAUUAUCUCAAUGCUUGGAGCUUGUGUCCAUCACUUUUGUGUGGUGACUUUGUGGGUCAUCCACCUUCAUGCCAUAUCCCUUCCACCCUAACUCAGGGAGCAGGAAAUACAGUCAUGGUAUACAUCUAAAUAAAAUUGCUUUUGGAACUUCUGUUAGAAA